UUUCCAGACUCCUACGGGAGGCAGCAGUGAGGAAUAUUGGUCAAUGGACGCAAGUCUGAACCAGCCAAGUAGCGUGCAUGAUGACGGUCCUCCGGGUUGUAAACUGCUUUUAGUUGGGAAUAAAAGGGGGCUCGUGAGCCCCGUAUUGUAUGUACCAUCAGAAAAAGGACCGGCUAAUUCCGUGCCAGCAGCCGCGGUAAUACGGAAGGUCCGGGCGUUAUCCGGAUUUAUUGGGUUUAAAGGGUGCGUAGGCGGGCUUUUAAGUCAGCGGUAAAAAUUCGGGGCUCAACCCCGUCCGGCCGUUGAAACUGGGGGCCUUGAGUGGGCGAGAAGAAGGCGGAAUGCGUGGUGUAGCGGUGAAAUGCAUAGAUAUCACGCAGAACCCCGAUUGCGAAGGCAGCCUUCCGGCGCCCUACUGACGCUGAGGCACGAAAGUGCGGGGAUCGAACAGGAUUAGAUACCCUUGUA
rnacentral:rRNA from 1 species